GGUAUCACGUGAUAUAAUGCGUUCAAGCUUGGAUGUAUUGUAAAGUAAUAUUGUUUUGUGUUUGUUGACGUUAAAUCUGUAUUAUGGUAUGUUAAUAAUUAAAAGGUAGAGACAACAAUAAUUGGUUUAUUACGGUCUAUAGUGGAUAAUCGAAUAUAUUACAGGAAUGGCUGAAGCAUUUCCGCCCGAUGACAAACCGAAGUCCAGCGAAGAUGAUGGAGAAACGAAACCGGAAGAAAACGGCGAAACAAGCACCUCGGCAGACGGCGAUGAAGAAACUAGGGAAAAACACUUCUGUAACGUUCACACAACAGAAGAGUUAUGUCGGUACUGUAGAGAUUGUCAGAAAACUUUGUGUAUGAAAUGCUUAGCAGAUGAACACCGAGAACCAAAUCACUGGGUCCAAACACUGGAAGAGGUCGAACCGUGGGCUAGGCAGAGAUUGAGAGAUCAUAUUGGACAGAUGAAAGCAAAGACGGAAGAAUUGGAAGUGUAUAAAGCACAACUGCAAAAACGACAAGACGAUUUGGAUAAAUGGAAGGAGGAAGCCUGUGCUCAGGUUGAUAGAGACGUUGAAAAUAUUAUAUCUAUGGUCAAACAAGCACGAGAUGAAGCUGUUAAACGAUAUUAUCUCAAACAAUUACAAGAAGCUCUGAAUAGCCGUGAAGAUGAUGUAAAAGAGCCAGAUUUAGAUUAGCGAAAACAAACUUUCAAAAAAUCCCCGCCCCCCUUUUAGCAACACUAUAUACAUUUAUAAACACUCCGCUGACUUGCAAAAUUUUCUCUCAUAGCGCACUGCAACUGCCAAGCUCUCAUUUUAAAAAAUUGAAAGCGGUUGUCAGUUGUGCAGGACGUAUAGGACCCUAGUUCAUUUGAUUCCAUUUGAUUAUGAACGUUAAACCAUACCUAUUCUUAAUCAAGGAGCAGUUUGGUCUAGAUAACUUCAUUCUAUACUUUCACUUUAUAAAUAAUAAUUAGAAAAAUAACCAACCACGCAGUCACAUAAAUUCCUCCAUCGAGUAUCUGGUAUUUCAAUCCAAUUGUUACAGCAAUUAAUAAUACUGAUUAAGUGUCUGUUGAUCAUCUAUAAUUUAUACAAAUUUGGUCAGUAUCGGAGUAUUUUGACGGAGAACUCCCAUAUUACUUGUACCCAGUCGCAACGCUUUGGAUAGAGCCAAUAAAUGGUUGUUUAACACCACCCUUAGACACUGUAAUUCAAAAGGUAGGAUUGUGCCUUUAAAUGUGGAAAUGGAAACGAUAAAACCCAGACUCUAUUUCGUUUCAUUUUUUUAAUUCAAAAUUUCGUUUUACUUGUUUUUAUGUAGUGUAGGUUAUCGAAAGUAUACAAAAAAACGAAACGAAAUAUAGAUCUGUAUUUUAAUCAGAUUGAUCUAUCUCCAACCUACGCUAGACGAGCCUCUCCAACGCUAUUGAGCCUCUCACUUACCACUGCUCUUUUUGCAAGUUUGUCUGCGAUAUCACCUAGGUGGACGCGGACGUUAAACCCGACAUCAAGUGAAGUCAACAAACUCUCAUACUUCCAAGAAUUCUAAUCAUUUAGUAACCUAUAAAUAUUAAGGUAUAUUUUAAGGUAAAUCCCCGUUGUUUGUUACAUAUCAUAAAAUAAAUUUAAGCCAUCAUUAUUAACGUUUUUAGUUCACAUCACGCCGAAAGCUAAAUCUGUAUUAAUAAGUAAUAUUGAAAUGUAUUUUAGUUAUGACAUGGACCUUAUAAUAAGGUCCAUGGUUAUGAUUUCACGGGGCUGAACUUCAAUUUUUUAAAUUGUAAUAUAUAAAUUGUUUCACUAAUAAUAGUUCAUUUCAUGCAGAAGCUUAAAUCUGUAUUAACAUUCAAGUAUAUUUUAGGUGUGAUUUCAUGGCGCUAGAUUUCAGUUUUUUAAAUUGUAUAAAUUUAUGAAGUGUUUAUUGCUGAUACUGGGACUAUAAUUUGUAUAGCUUUUAUUGAAAUGUUAUCGUAUAUCGUCGACAACGGCCGUCCAUCCGUCAUUUUGUUUAGCUCCAGAGGCUAGAGUGCCCCCCCCCCUCCGUCCUCUUAAUAAUUUGUAAAAAUGUGUUUAUUAGUGUAAAUUUUCGCCCCCCCCCCACCCAAGGAUCCAGAUUUGGUUAAACUGACAAUAUGAAUUUCCUUCCGUCGGGCGUGUCCGAUUGUCUUUAAUUGUCUUUAAAGCCCGGCCCAUACCGCUACGACUACACACAAGCCGACAGGACUCGGCGUCUUGGGUAGUUGUAAAAAAAAAUCGGGUCGCGCCUUUACUUCACUUGCCUACGACGGUACCAGUCCACACAGGCCCGACUCUCACAGAUUAUGCGUCGUGAGUUACGCCACUUCCCUCUAGCGAGUGAUUCCAAAAGUAAACCGGAAGCAUAAGUUACGACUGCAACCAACUGCAUCCGACUACAAUUGAACAUGUUCAAUAGGGCCGACGGUCCCCGACGCGACGGAAAUCGAUUGAAUCGUGGUCGUGGGACUGUCCACACGGCACUGAUUAUCUGAGACAAGACGUUGCGUUGGGUAGAGUCUGUGCAAGUCGUGGCGGUAUGGGCCGGGCUUUACUUCACUUACCUACGACGGUACCCGUCCACACAGGUCCAACUCUCACAGAUUAUGCGUCAUGAGUUACGCCACUUCCCUCUAGCGAGUGAUUCCAAAAGUAAACCGGAAGCAUAAUGCUACUCUCUGAUUGGCUAAACAUCAGUAAGACAAUUGAUCGCGUCGUGUGAGUGUCCACACAAACACGAUAAGUUACGACUGCAUCCGACUACGAUUGAACAUGUUCAAUCGGGCCGACAGGCCACGACGCGACAGAAAUCGAUUGAAUCGUGGUCGUGGGACUGUCCACACUGCACUGAUUAUCUGAGACAAGACGUUGCGUUGGGUAGUGUCUGGGCAAGUCGUGGCGGUAUGGGCCGGGCUUAAGAGUUUAUGGUCCUUGAUCACGUUGAAUAAUCUAUGGGCACUCCAGAGACUAAAGUCAUAACCCGAUUGACGUGAAAUGUAUUCACAGUUGUUAAUUCAUUACAAUGAUUACAUCUAGAGUUACUGUUCCUUAUAUUUACACACACAAUGUUUAUGUUCACUAGAUGAAGAAACCGAUAUAGAAUUACUUUGAGUUGUUGCCUUUGGCGUUCAUAAGAUGAACAAAUCUAUACAUUGUAAAUUGUUUUGUAUACCAACUCCUAGCAUCAGGAUGAACUAUAGUUAUUUAAUGGGGUCCUAUUACCUACAAAUAAUAAAUAUGCAAAAAUUCGUGUGGACUAUACACGGACGACUUAGCUGCCGUGGGCGUAUGUUUCCCUAAUUUUAAAUCAAUUCAGAUAUACCUUUUUUAAUUAAAAAAAUUAUUUUAUGAAUUACUUACCGUGAAAAUUUAUCAGCCAAGGUUUGGGAGAUGAAAAGGGGAACGUUGCAGUUUGAACUCCCAUCCAUGAACUUAUUAUUUUAAAUAAUUUAAAUGAAAUUAAUUGUAAAUAUAUUCUAUUGAUUAUUUGUGUUUCUGUUGUGCUAACAAGACGGUUAAUAUUUCCAGCUCAAAUGUUGGACGAUUUUAUUUUUUUUAAAACGAGAGUCGCUCCACGUUUGUGGGUCGUUGAAAGGAGAAGAUUUUGAUAAUGUAUUAUACUUUGUUGACGUCAUGCUCUCAUUAAUGGACAUCUUGAUGCCAGAGGCGGGCAGGUCAUUUUCUAAUCGGAUUUAGGCCAUUAUAUUUUUCAUUGGAUGUACGAGUUGAUGCAACAAACAUCUUAAUAUCUUAUCUUACCUGAAUAGUUUAAAAUAUUUCCGAUAAACGUAUUACGUAUUGUCACAAUUAUAUUUUAUUGAUGUAAAAAUAUUGUCAAUGUGUUAUCUAUAAUAGGUGUAAUUUUGAAAUAUUAAAAUGAAUUGUUAAAUAAAACUUAUAUUUUCGUUAAA